GCUACAUUUCCAAAGUAACCUUCCCAACACUGGCAGUUCCUCAGAAACGGUUGUGGUUACAACAAAGUGGUUGUUGAGCAACUCACAAACGUAAACAAAGGUAUAUGUUUGUAGAGUAAUUUACAACAGCUCAGAACACAGCUCAGUUAAUCGGAAUCAAGGACCGGAACUAUCCAUUUUAUAAGACGACGUUUAAAAGGAAUUUUAAUUUCCAGAGGCUGCUCAAUGUUGGGGCAUCUUGAAACUCAACGAUUUUAUUCACCGUUCCAAGAUGGAGCUAUACUUGCCGAUUUAAAACAUCGACGACGAAGCGCCUCCAGUCCAUGAAAUGAAAGCAAACGUCUGCCAGAAGCAUCCAGAGAGAGAAGACAUGACUUACAAGAGAUGCUUUGAAGUCCAAAUCACACCUGGUGUAUCCCAGAGAUUUGUCCUGUUAGAUGCUGUCCCAGUCGCACAGGCCACUGCUGCUGAAUCCCAGCCAGGAAAAUGUGCCUCAGUACAUUGUGUACAAUCCAGACUUCAGUCCUCGCUGAGACACAGAUAGCAUGCAAGUCAGCUGUAAAUGUGCAGCGACACCAGAGCUCACGACAAGCUCUUACCCAGCAGCAGCAGCAGCUGAAAGAUGUGAGCAAAGCAAAGCUGAGAGAGCUGCGAUGAGAAAACACAGGAUGACUGGAGAACGCCUCAAAACACUGUCCCAAACAUUUCUGUACCGAAAAUCAUGUGAUUUACUACACUAAUUAUUUCUCGUAAUAACAGUGCUGAAACUAUUUUCAGUUUCACAAAAUAUAUUUAGCAUAUAUUUAAAAUAUAUUUUGGACUUUUUUUUGCUGUAUGGGAUGAGUGGGUACCACUUAUAAAAUCUUCGCUUUUUUUAAAUAAAUAAACCUACUAGUAGUUUUUAAAAUGGUUAGAAGACAAAAAAUGAC